GACGAACGCUGGCGGCGUGCUUAACACAUGCAAGUCGAACGAAGUCGCGUACGGGUGAGUAUUACGUGAGUAACCUGCACUCCUUUUUGGGAUAAGCCUUGGAAACGGGGUCUAAUACCGAAUAAAGGGGGAUGGGCUCGGGGCCUCUCAGCUUGUUGGUGGGGUGAUGGCCUACCAAGGAGGUGACGGGUAGCCGGCCUAAGAGGGGGACCGGCAACAUUGGGACUGGGAUACGGCCCAGAAUCGUACGAGGGGAAGCAAGGGGGGGUAUUGCACAAUGGGCUAUAGCCUGAUGCAGCGGCGCUGCGUGGGGGAUGAAGGCUUUCGGGUUGUAAGCCUCGUUCACUAUCGAAGGGGUAGGUGGAGAAGAAGCGCCGGCUAACUACGUGCCAUCAGCCGCGGUAAUAC
rnacentral:rRNA from 1 species